rnacentral:rRNA from 1 species
UACGUGGGGGGCAAGCGUUGUUCGGAAUUACUGGGCGUAAAGGGCUCGUAGGCGGCCAACUAAGUCAGACGUGAAAUCCCUCGGCUUAACCGGGGAACUGCGUCUGAUACUGGAUGGCUUGAGUUUGGGAGAGGGAUGCGGAAUUCCAGGUGUAGCGGUGAAAUGCGUAGAUAUCUGGAGGAACACCGGUGGCGAAGGCGGCAUCCUGGACCAAUUCUGACACUGAGGAGCGAAAGCCAGGGGAGCAAACGGG